rnacentral:rRNA from 1 species
UACAGAGGUCUCAAGCGUUGUUCGGAAUUACUGGGCGUAAAGGGCGCGUAGGCGGCUUAUCAAGUCUGUUGUGAAAUCCCGGGGCUUAACUCCGGACGUGCAGUGGAAACUGAUAGGCUUGAGUGGAGUAGAGGUUGGUGGAAUUCCCCAGUGUAGAGGUGAAAUUCGUAGAUAUUGGGAGGAACACCGGUGGCGAAGGCGGCCAACUGGGCUACAACUGACGCUGAGGCGCGAAAGCGUGGGGAGUCAAACAGGAU